rnacentral:rRNA from 1 species
GACGGAGGAUGCAAGUGUUAUCCGGAAUCACUGGGCGUAAAGCGUCUGUAGGUCGUUUAAAAAGUCUACUGUUAAAAAUUGAAGCUUAACUUCAAAGGUGCCGUAGAAACUUUUAAACUUGAGUAUGGUAGGGGUAGAGGGAAUUUCCAGUGGAGCGGUGAAAUGCGUAGAUACCAGGAGGAACACCAAUGGCGAAGGCAGGUUCUUGGACAGAAGGUGACGCUGAGGCGCGAAAGUGUGGGGAGCGAACCGG